rnacentral:rRNA from 1 species
GCUUACGGCCAUACCACCCUGAGCACGCCCGAUCUCGUCCGAUCUCGGAAGCUAAGCAGGGUCGGGCCUGGUUAGUACUUGGAUGGGAGGCCCGGACCCUCGUCCCUCCGAGAAACCUCGGAACCCGGUGGCG